CCAGCGUCUGGGACCCACUGAUGAGUCUUCUUAGGCAGUGGACUCCGAGACGAAACGCAUC
rnacentral:hammerhead_ribozyme from 17 species